GACGAACGCUGGCGGCGUGCUUAACACAUGCAAGUCGAACGUGAUUUUUGUGGAAAUUCUUUCGGGAAUGGAAAUGAAAUGAAAGUGGCGAACGGGUGAGUAACACGUGAGCAACCUACCUUACACAGGGGGAUAGCCGUUGGAAACGACGAUUAAUACCGCAUGAGACCACAGAAUCGCAUGAUAUAGGGGUCAAAGAUUUAUCGGUGUAAGAAGGGCUCGCGUCUGAUUAGCUAGUUGGAAGGGUAAAGGCCUACCAAGGCGACGAUCAGUAGCCGGUCUGAGAGGAUGAACGGCCACAUUGGAACUGAGACACGGUCCAAACUCCUACGGGAGGCAGCAGUGGGGAAUAUUGCACAAUGGGGGGAACCCUGAUGCAGCGACGCCGCGUGAGCGAAGAAGGUUUUCGAAUCGUAAAGCUCUGUCCUAUGAGAAGAUAAU
rnacentral:rRNA from 1 species